UGCCAAAAUUCCUGUAUCUGG
rnacentral:piRNA from 1 species